rnacentral:rRNA from 1 species
GACGAACGCUGGCGGCGUGCUUAACACAUGCAAGUCGAACGGAAAGGCUCCAGCUUGCUGGAGUACUCGAGUGGCGAACGGGUGAGUAACACGUGGGUAAUCUGCCCUGCACUCUGGGAUAAGCCUGGGAAACUGGGUCUAAUACUGGAUAUGACCUUUCUCCUUAUGGGGUUUGGUGGAAAGUGUUUCGGUGUAGGAUGAGCCCGCGGCCUAUCAGCUUGUUGGUGGGGUGAUGGCCUACCAAGGCGACGACGGGUAGCCGGCCUGAGAGGGUGAUCGGCCACAUUGGGACUGAGAUACGGCCCAGACUCCUACGGGAGGCAGCAGUGGGGAAUAUUGCACAAUGGGCGGAAGCCUGAUGCAGCGACGCCGCGUGAGGGAUGACGGCCUUCGGGUUGUAAACCUCUUUCAGCAGGGACGAAGCGUAAGUGACGGUACCUGCAGAAGAAGCACCGGCUAACUAUGUG